rnacentral:rRNA from 1 species
CGGCACGGGUGAGUAACACGUAUCCAACCUGCCGUCUACUCUUGGCCAGCCUUCUGAAAGGAAGAUUAAUCCAGGAUGGCAUCAUGAGUUCACAUGUCCGCAUGAUUAAAGGUAUUUUCCGGUAGACGAUGGGGAUGCGUUCCAUUAGAUAGUAGGCGGGGUAACGGCCCACCUAGUCAACGAUGGAUAGGGGUUCUGAGAGGAAGGUCCCCCACACUGGAACUGAGACACGGUCCAA